GAGGGUCUGAGGGUCCUAAGGUAGGAAGGCAUGGCUGGUCCUAGGUGGUACAGAAAUGUUGCACUUUUUUAACAACUGAAGCAGCUAUAGUAGUGUGUCCCUGCUGGCCCUCGGCCCUGUGGGUUGGGGAAAUGUGGCAGGAGGAAGGUGACCCUCACUCUCCCCAGCCUCUGCUGUGUUGCAGGGGACGCUAUGAAGCACAUCAAGGUUCCAACUUAUGCCAAGGUCCAGUCCAUCACAAAGGUGUUUUACACCCAAAGUGGCAUCUGCCAUUUCCCACGGCAAACAGACCAGCUCACUUCUCUUGCAGAAUCCCAGACAUGUCGAAUGAUUGUCCGUGGACCCAUCUGAUGUUGGUGCUCACAGAAUCUGAUUGCUUAGAAGGCCUCGGGCAGCAGCAAGUCUUCAAGCUCCUUAGAAAAGGAAUGGCUGCAGCAUUUCUCAACUGGGAUUCUGUGAAUAAAUGAAACCCUACAGAAAAUGACACCAGUGACUUUUCUCAGUCCUCCCAGGAAUGACACCAUUCUACAGGCAUGGGAAAGAAGUUGAUUCAUUACAAACAGGGGCUGUCCCCGAAUGUUAGGGCUUAAUUCUUUCUGGAAGUCAGUUAAGAAAGGCUGGUGGGGAGUUUAUUUAGGUAUUUAAUGAAUACCUGUUUGAUAUCUGCGGGCAUUGUUCUAAGCCCUACACUGUCCAGUUCGGUAGUCAUGAUCCAACCACAUGUCCAUUGAGCAUUUGCAAUGAGUCUUAUCCAAAUUGUGAUGUACUCUAAGUAUAAAACACACACUGAAUUUCAAAGAUUUAGUAUAAUGAAAUGUAAAAUUUCUCAUUAAUAAUUUUUAUAUUGAAUUUUAUGUUGAAAUGACCAUACUUGGAUAGAUUGGGCUAAAUCAGAGGUUGACAAACUUUCCCUCUGAAAGACUGGAUAGUAAGAAUUUUCAGCUUUGUGGAUCACCUGGUCUCAACUAUGCAACUACUCAACUCUGCCAUUGCAGUGCAAAAUCAGCCAUAGACAAUAUAAAAACAAAUGGGCAUGGCUUGUUCCAAUAAAACUUUAUUUAAAAAAAACAGAUGGUGGGCCAGAUUUCCCCCACAGGCUGUAUAGUUUGCUGAUUUCUGUGUUAAAUAAAAUAUUAAAUAUAUUAA
ensembl:lncRNA novel transcript